AAACUAGUGUCGCUGAGGAAUUUUGCAGCUUUUACUUGAAAAUUGAUACCCAAGAAGUUGAAGCCUCCAGCUACCUCAGCUACAGUGACUCGGGACACAAGCGCAUAAUAGCCUGUGCCAGCUACAAGCCCAGCAAGGAGGAGUCAGCAUCUGGGUCCUCCCAUGCAGUAAUGGAUAUACUGCUGCCGACCGGAAUCGGAGCAAACCAAGAAGAUUUACGAGCUGCAAGUGUUCUCUCUCUUCGAGAUGUUGUGAAUGCUUGGCUUUCUUUCCUAUGUCACUUUAUGGGCAAACUUUUAUUCUUUUACUUCAAUAUCUCACUCUCAUGCAAUCACUCAAAAUAUUCUUUCUAAAACAAAUGUGUAACUGUGAUUUGACGUAUGACAAUGAAGCAGGAGCAUGCGCAGUGAUGUGUUCAGUCCGGAAAGGAAUCAUCCUUCCGCUCAGAGUGGUGGGCUACGGUGCGGCUUAAUAGUCCAUCAACAGGGAAAUGGAAUUAAACACAAAGAUAAGGAAAGUACCUUCAAACUCCUCUCCCCUUUCUUUCUUAGCUUGUGGAAGGAGUAGAUCAACUCCUAACUGAUUACCAGAUCAAAGACAGUCAUGUUAUUCUGCAAUUGAAUUCGGUAAGCUCCACCUCCCUGCACCUGCGCCUGACCACCGCAUCUUCACAGGCUGAAGCAUCAGGAAUACCUCUUCCCCACGCCUGCCUUAAAACCUUGACUUUGUCAAACAGAUUCCCUCCAGAGAUUUCCUUUGUGUUCGGUUCCGGAUAUUUGAACUUUUCCAAGUUGGGUUUCUGAAUCCUGCUACGUUCACGGUGUACGAGUAUCACAGACCAGAUAAGCAGUGUACCAUGAUUUACAGCACUUCUGACACCAACCUU
rnacentral:lncRNA from 1 species